GACGAACGCUGGCGGCGUGCUUAACACAUGCAAGUCGAACGGAAAGGCCCUGCUUUUGUGGGGUGCUCGAGUGGCGAACGGGUGAGUAACACGUGAGUAACCUGCCCUUGACUUUGGGAUAACUUCAGGAAACUGGGGCUAAUACCGGAUAGGAGCUCCUGCUGCAUGGUGGGGGUUGGAAAGUUUCGGCGGUUGGGGUUGGACUCGCGGCUUAUCCGCUUGUUGGUGGGGUAGUGGCUUAGCAAGGCUUUGACGGGUAGCCGGCCUGAGAGGGUGACCGGCCACAUUGGGACUGAGGUACGGCCCAGACUCCUACGGGAGGCAGCGGUGGGAAAUAUUGCACGAUGGGCGGAAGCCUGAUGCAGCAACGCCGCGUGCGGGAUGACGGCUUUCGGGUUGUAAACCGCUUUCGCCUGUGACGAAGCGUGAGUGACGGUAAUGUGUAAAGAAGCACCGGCUAACUACGUG
rnacentral:rRNA from 1 species